rnacentral:rRNA from 1 species
AUUGAACGCUGGCGGCAUGCUUUACACAUGCAAGUCGAACGGUAACAGGCCGCAAGGUGCUGACGAGUGGCGAACGGGUGAGUAAUGCAUCGGAACGUGCCCAGUCGUGGGGGAUAACGCAGCGAAAGCUGCGCUAAUACCGCAUACGAUCUAUGGAUGAAAGCGGGGGACCGUAAGGCCUCGCGCGAUUGGAGCGGCCGAUGUCAGAAUAGGUAGUUGGUGGGGUAAAGGCUCACCAAGCCAACGAUCUGUAGCUGGUCUGAGAGGACGACCAGCCACAGUGGGACUGAGACACGGCACAGACUCCUACGGGAGGCAGCAGUGGGGAAUUUUGGACAAUGGGCGCAAGCCUGAUCCAGCAAUGCCGCGUGCAGGAAGAAGGCCUUCGGGUUGUAAACUGCUUUUGUACGGAACGAAACGGCUCUGGUUAAUACCUGGGGCUAAUGACGGUACCGUAAGAAUAAGCACCGGCUAACUACGUGCCAGCCGCCGCAGUAAUAC